GUCGCCGUCGUCGUCGUCGUAGAGCGCGUAAUAAGACAAAAAAUACCAAAAAAAAAAAAAAAAAAAAUAAUGAAAAUCUAAGAAUUAACCAAAAAAAAACAUAUAGAACAACAACAAAAAGAAAAAAUAAAAAAAAGAAAUUCCAGCACAAAAAAGUCUUAAAAUUUUUUCUCAAUAUUCUAGUAACGAAAAAAGUGAAAUAUUUCCAAAAAAAAAGGAUAAUUUAAAGAAGUCCGAAAUAUUGCCCAGAAAAAAAUGCGAAAAGUCAAGAAAAAAUUCCUGUGAUACCUGUCAAAGAGAUAAAAAAUUGAAAAUCACAAGGCAAUGAGUGAAAUGAGUGCGUUCAGUGAAAAAAUCUGUAUACAAUAAUGGUCUUGGGCCAAUGUGUGAGGAGGCCAGCCAGCCAGCCAGCCAGUCAGCCAGUCAGUCAGUCAGCAAGCAAAUGUUGUUGUUUUCUGUGAAUAACGAAAUACACAGAUUUUUCCCUCUGCAAUAGAAUUAAUGUAUCUCUCGAACAAGAGCCCCAUACCCCAACCUGCCCUUGUCUCCACCAUCAAAGUUUAAUAACAUAUGAAAAAUAGUUAGAAAAAGAAAAAAAUUUAAAUUGAGGGAAAAAAUUUCCAAAAAAAUAAUAAAUAAAUGAAAUUUCAAAGAAAAUUUCAAAACGACCACCUCCAAAAAAAAAAAAAAAAACAAAAAAAAAAAAUAAAGUGAAGUGCUGAAACGAAAAAAAAUUGAGUAUUUAUUUUUUCCCUUCCAUUUGUAUGCAAAAGUUAUAAAUGUGUGUAUAACCAUGAACAUAAGGAGGAAGAAUAAGCACUACGAGGAAUCUAUAUGUAAGACAGCAACAACAACAUCAGUAAAAGGGCAAUUAAUUAGAGGAAAACGUAAAAAAACGUAUUUGUAAAGCUCCUAGUGGAAUAAAAGAGAGAGUGUGUGUGUGAGUGCUGAGUGCGCGCCUAAAAAAGAGAGGAAAACAAGAGAUAACAGUAAUUCACCACUUAUGUUAAAUAGAAUUUCCACUCUCUCUCUCUCCCUAUAUCUCAUAGAGAAAAAAAGUUUAUCAUAUGUUUGGGGCCACAAAGGAAAAUCUCCACUGAUAACAAAGGAAAAGAGGUGUACAAGCCGUGAGAAUAAUAAAAAAACACGAGUCACAGAUUAAAGUUCAAAAGAAAUUCACCACUACCGACCAACCAACAAACCUACCAUCCAACCCAACUAUAUUUCAGUAGCGAAAACUCAUAGACCAGACCUGACCAGAGUAUUGCAACAAGCAAGUGCUAAUCCACACAUACACAAGGAAACCUUACGGUGCUCUCUACCGUUAACUCUCUGGCCUCUCUCUCUCUCUCUCUAUGUCUCUCUCAUACAGACAUUCACAUACACGAAACUUAAUAACAUACAAAUCUCCUGGGCAUUGACACGCCAUUCGAACACUGACAUUAAGACACAACAAAAAAAUGUGCGUGUAGGAUCAGGCCAGAACAAAAUUGGGCUAAGACAACUGAAGUUGAAAAUAUAAAAGAAAAAAUACACAAAUAAAAAAUAAAAAAAAAAAUUCUCUAUAAAACAAAUAUAGUGGCCAAAUAAAAAAACAACAACUACAAGACAAAUGCAAAAUCUUGUAAAAAGUGUAAAUAAAAUAUAAAUGAAAAAGAAUAAUAAAUAAUUUAAUAAAAAUUAUGAAAAUCAUGUAAAUUUAAAAAAUAAAUAUAAAAUAAAAAUAUUAUGUGCCUCUAACCUUAAAAAAUAUAAAAUAACAAGAAAAAAUAAAUCAACAUUUAAUCCCUAAAAAAAUUUAAAAAAGAAACAAAAAUCGCCAGCAGCUGUAAUUUCUGUUUCCACUCGUUGUCCAUCAAAAGGCAAAGAAGAAGAAGAAGAAAAAACAACACACAACUCUACGCAACAAACAUCUUUUUUGGAGAGAUUUUAUUCAAUAAAUUAUUAAGCUGUCAACUGUCAAAAAACACAAAAGCCAGCAAACUUCAAAAACCACCCCUAAUUCAAUCACAGAAGAAAAAAACCCUCAACCAAAAAAAGGAGAUAAAAACGAAAUCCAUAAAAAUAAAUAUUAACUCUUCUUGGAUAUUGCUCUCUUACUCUCUCUCCAUUGAUUUCAUUCAAACCCAAAAAAAAAAAAAAAAAAAAAAACAGAAACGAAAAAAAAAAAACAAAAAACGAAAGCUUUGGCCUUUAUUCUCGAACUCUUCAACUCCAACAACAACCACAACAAUAAUCACAUACCUACCAACCAACGCAUUAACAUACAUUGUUGCAUGCAACAUGUUUUAAUUAAAAAAUAAAUUAAUAAAUAAUAAAUAUAUACGAAAUUAAAAACAACAACUUCUCCAAUAUUCCAACAACAAAAUAAUCUGAAAUAAUUAAUAAAUAAUAACAUCUUUCAUUUGCUGAAUAUUUUAAUAAUAAAUUAAAUAUAUACACAUAGUUAAUCAUUGCUACGGAGUCAAAUGUCCCUCUACCCCACUCCACUCCUUCAGGAUUACCAUUACUUUUCUUCGACAUCUUAAAUUGAAUAACAACGAAUAUUAACACAACGCUCUGUUUUUAGAAAACAUUUCCAAAAAAAGAAAAGUAAACAAUAAAAUAUAAUUAUUCACCAAAAACAUAUUGGGGAUUUUUUUACCGCAACUGCAAAUACAUUAUUUAAUAUUUUAAAAUAAACAUUUGCAUACAAAAAACAAAUACAAAUUUUUUCCAAAUGCAAACUGCAAUGAGCAACAACAACAAAAAAAUAUUAAACGAAACUCAAAUACAAUAACUAAACAAAAGGAGUUAAACAAACAACAUAAAAUCCUUCAGGCAACAAACAUAACAACAACCACAACUUCAUUUCGAAUCCCACAGCAUUCAUUCACACAGCGCGUUCUGUAAAUAUGGAAAUGGCAAGCGAACAAAUUCAACGAAAACAAAUUUAAUUAAAACAAAAAAUUAAAAAUUAAUAACAAUAAAUUAUCAAACAAUACAAAGGCCACAAAACAAACACACACACACA